UGACAAAUGAGAAUGUUUUUGGAAUGAAUUGUGUGGAUAUGUUGUUGUUUUGCGAGGUGCAUUCGAAUGUAUUAUUUAAACAUGAAUAAAUAGGUAUAAAAUGCUCAAUAGUAUUUUAAAAAUUUAAACUACAAAAGUAAUUUGUUUUACGGUACGAGAAAGGACGCAAUGACUAAGAGAAAGUGUCAUUUUGCUGAUGACUUUACUCGCCAGUGCAAAUUUCAUGUUGGAGAGAGUGAUGUAGUCGUUGAUUUUGAAUUCCAUAGGAAACGUGUUGAAGAGAAAACUCUAAAACUAUUGUAUGGAAGAGAGAGAAGCAAAAAUAAUGUUGAUGUAAAUGGUAGCAAAGGGAAGAAAAACACCAUUAAUAAAUUGGAGUCAGAAAAGGAUGUGCAGGUCAAGGAUUGCUGUUUUACACAUACAUUCAUUCAAAAAUCUUCUAACUGCACCUACUGUGAAAAGAACUUAUGUUCAGGAUGUGUGUCAAUUUGUUCUCAAUGUAGGCAGGACUUCUGCCUUGCCUGUGUGUUCAUAAAGUAUGUUGGUGCUGAAGACUUGCACAUCUGCCUCAGUUGUUACUCAUAAUCAAACAGUAAAUUAAUUUUUUAUAAGUUUUAAUAAUAAAUUAAAAAAGAAUGGAAAGCAGUGAAAAUUGUUGUAAAUUACUAUUAUGAAAUAAAGUUUAAUUAUCAUUUGCCAUUGGAA